CCCUUAGAUGUUCUGGGCCGCACGCGUGCUACACUGAACGGUUCAAUGGGUAAGGUAGUGCGAAAGCAUGACCGAAUCUCGAAAUCCGUUCGUGCUGGGGAUAGAAGCUUGCAAUUAUCCUUCUUGAACGAGGAAUACCUUGUAAGCGUGAGUCAUCAUCUCACGCUGAAUACGUCCCUGCCCUUUGUACACACCGCCCGUCGCUCCUACCGAUUGAGUGUUCCGGUGAGGCUUUGGGAGAAUGGCCUCAACAUGAGUUUAUCGUGUUUUGCCGUUUGAACUUAGUCAAACCUUAUCACUUAGAGGAAGGAGAAGUCGUAACA
rnacentral:rRNA from 1 species